UACAGAGGUCUCAAGCGUUGUUCGGAUUCAUUGGGCGUAAAGGGUGCGUAGGCGGCGCGGUAAGUCGGGUGUGAAAUCUCGGAGCUUAACUCUGAAACUGCAUUCGAUACUGCCGUGCUUGAGGACUGGAGAGGAGACUGGAAUUUACGGUGUAGCGGUGAAAUGCGUAGAUAUCGUAAGGAAGACCAGUGGCGAAGGCGGGUCUCUGGACAGUUCCUGACGCUGAGACGCGAAAGCGUGGGGAGCGAACAGG
rnacentral:rRNA from 1 species